rnacentral:rRNA from 1 species
UGGGGAAUAUUGGACAAUGGGCGAAAGCCUGAUCCAGCAACGCCGCGUGAGUGAUGAAGGCCUUCGGGUUGUAAAGCUCUUUUAGUAGGGAAGAUAAUGACGGUACCUACAGAAUAAGUCCCGGCUAACUUCGUGCCAGCAGCCGCGGUAAUACGAAGGGGACUAGCGUUACUCGGAAUUAUUGGGCGUAAAGCGUGCGUAGGCGGCCUAGAAAGUUGGAAGUGAAAGCCUUGAGCUCAACUCAAGAACUGCUUUCAAAACUCCUAGGCUUGAGUUUCGGAGGGGAUAGCGGAAUUCCUAGUGUAGAGGUGAAAUUCGUAGAUAUUAGGAGGAACGCCGGUGGCGAAAGCGGCUAUCUGGACGAACACUGACGCUGUUGCACGAAAGCGUGGGUAGCAAA